UCUAACAUGUGCGCGAGUCAUUGGGAUUUUGUAAACCUAAAGGCGCAAUGAAAGUGAAGGUCUUCCUUAGCGUUGACCGAGGGAGGAUGGCUCGCGUCACGAUGCGAGCCCGCACUCCCGGGGCGUCUCGUGCUCAUUGCGAGCAGAGGCGCACCCAGAGCGUACACGUUGGGACCCGAAAGAUGGUGAACUAUGCCUGGUCAGGACGAAGUCAGGGGAAACCCUGAUGGAGGUCCGUAGCGAUUCUGACGUGCAAAUCGAUCGUCGGAACUGGGUAUAGGGGCGAAAGACUAAUCGAACCAUCUAGUAGCUGGUUCCCUCCGAAGUUUCCCUCAGGAUAGCUGGCACUCGCUUGAGCGAGUCUCAUCUGGUAAAGCGAAUGAUUAGAGGCCUUGGGGCCGAAACGACCUCAACCUAUUCUCAAACUUUAAAUGGGUGAGAUCUCUGGCUUGCUUGAACGUUGAAGCCACGAGAUAUUUCAUGGAUCAGAGUGCCAAGUGGGCCAAUUUUGGUAAGCAGAACUGGCGA
rnacentral:rRNA from 1 species